AAAACUAGCCAGUCUUUUUGGGUAUGAAACCCAUUUGGGCGAGAGUAGUACUAGGAUGGGUGACCUCCUGGGAAGUCCUCGUGAAAGGGUUUC
rnacentral:rRNA from 1 species